rnacentral:rRNA from 1 species
UAGGGAAUAUUGGACAAUGGGCGCAAGCCUGAUCCAGCCAUGCCGCGUGCGGGAAGAAGGCCUUCGGGUUGUAAACCGCUUUUGUCAGGGAAGAAACGGUCUGGGAUAAUACCCUGGGCUAAUGACGGUACCUGAAGAAUAAGCACCGGCUAACUACGUGCCAGCAGCCGCGGUAAUACGUAGGGUGCAAGCGUUAAUCGGAAUUACUGGGCGUAAAGCGUGCGCAGGCGGUCUUGCAAGACAGAUGUGAAAUCCCCGGGCUCAACCUGGGAACUGCAUGUGUGACUGCAAGGACAGAGUACGGUAGAGGGGGAUGGAAUUCCGCGUGUAGCAGUGAAAUGCGUAGAUAUGCGGAGGAACACCGAUGGCGAAGGCAAUCCCCUGGACCUGUACUGACGCUCAUGCACGAAAGCGUGGGGAGCAAAC